rnacentral:lncRNA from 10 species
CGCUAGGCCCCGCCUGCUCUAUUUAAACUUCUGGACUCAACCUGGCCGCUAGACCGGAGCGUCCUCCAGCGCAGGCAAGGAUUCCUCGUUUAGAGUCAUGUUAUCUUCGAGUACCUAGAGAGACAUUUUAACCCACACCCUAGAGAGGCGUUGUAAUCCUUACGUGUCUUUUAACGCUACUUGGCCCUUACCUGCGAGCAACUGACCUUUAAUAAUCCUCAUUUUCUGUGCCCCGGAAGUGCCUUACCCUCUUCGCGUCUGUUUCCCGGAAGUGGUUCUUCUCCCUCUCCACCCUUUCGCCCGCCUGGGCGGUCCAGCUGCCCCUAGGGGCCAACUCCAGCGGCUAUUUUGGGGCUGGACAUCCCGCAGCUUUUCAAGGCGUGCCUUUGGUUUUUUUAAGAAGUGCUAUCUAAAGGAAAAGCUGGACUAUGACUCUGGGGAACUUUCAUAUCCUCAGUUGACCUUAGGCUGUGUGACCUUGAGCAGGUAGCAUAACCUCUCUGAGUUUCCCGCGUGCCUUAUGUGCAGAUUGAGAUGCUAAAAUGAGAGAGCUAAAUUGGAAAGCUUUUUCCACAUAGGGGGCCGUGAGCAGGUGGCUGUUUUGUCCUCUGGCACCUUUGGCUCAGACUUAAGCAGCUUCAACGACCGCCAAGAUGCCUGCCAUGCCCACCAAGAUUUAAAGGACUCUGAUAAUUCUUUCUCUCCCCAAACGGUGUUUUCCUUAUCUAAUCCUAAUAACCAAGCCUGGAGGAAUCCCUGACUUCGUGAUUGAAGGCUCUCCAGGUCCCCUAGUUUAAGGGCAGAGAUUUACUUUCUCUGAGGCUACAAAGGAGCGUCUGCGAGAAUGUCUCUACCUUAGACAAAACAGGGAGGAGGGGUGGAGCUCUCCAAAUUGCCUCUGGUUUGGGCUUUUUCUUUCUGUUUUGGUGUAUCGUCUCUGGCCAACAACACCUGUGAGUCCUUGAUGUGACGAUUAGGGAAGAUGUUUUUAAUUCACAUAACUAUUCUUUAGAGAAAAUUGAUCCUGAAACACCUUAUUGCCUUAUCGUAGAAUGACUGCAUUACUCAGAAUUCUUUACCUCUACCGGAAUUUAGUGAAGGGAAGGCACAACGUACAUUAGGAAAAUACAGGACACACUCCAGUCCUUAAACCUUCCACAAUCUUCUAGCUCUUUAAGGUCGAGUGUGAUCCUCCCCAGAACUGCAUCUUCCAGGAAGCUCAUGAGAAAGGAAGGAUCCCAGGUCCCAUCUCUGAUCUGAGUCGGCAUCUGCGUUUUAACAGAAUCCUGAAGCAGUGGUCUAACUCCUUUGGUGGUGUUAUUGUUUGCAUGUAUACCUCCAAAAUUCACAUAUUGAAAUACUAACCCCCAAGGUGAUAGUAUUAGGAGGUGGGGCCUUUGGGAGGUAAUUAAGUCAUGAGGGUGAAGCCCUCAUGAAUGGGAUUAGUACUCUUAGAAAAGGGACCCCAGAGAGGUCUCUUUCCACCAUGUAAGGAUAAAAGUACACGGAGAAGAUGGCAAUCUGCAAACUGGAAAAGGGCCCUCCUCAGAACCUGACCAUCUUGGCACCUUGAUCUCAGACUUCCAUCUUCCAGAACUGUGAGAAAUAAAUUUCUUUUAUAAACACUCAGUCAAUGCUACUUUAUUAUAGCAGCCUGAAUGGAUUAAGACAGGUGGUCUGGUUUAAAGUGAUGUGGUGGCAUCAGAAGUUUAAGGAGAGACUGGAUUUACAGAACCAGAAUCUGGGAUGCUGUUUACAGAGCAAGUUAUUUCCUGCAUUUGGACACUGUCAGCAGGUCGAUUCAGGAGACAGGUGAAAACUUUAUCACCGGGCAGCCUGGAUGAACACCACAACUUUGAUAUCUUUCACUUAAAGGAAAGAUAAGGGCAUCCACUAUUUCUACACCUGGCUGGCAGAGUGAGAGCUCACCAAAGCACUUACAAAUUCAUGGACUAUUAUGAAGACAAGUUAAGAGAUUGUGUCCUCCAAACUCAUCAUUUUUCAGAAAUUGUAUCACAAUCCUACAAGAUAAAUGCACAAGAUAAUUCUUCAAAUCAUUGAGAGUGUAAUCUAUAAUCUUCCUAAACAACGAACAGUAUAGCACUGGUUAAGGAAAUCAUAUAUCAGCAUAAAGAAAUGUCAACAAGAACUAAGAAGGAUCCAGUUCUGAAUCUCGUUAGCAAGUUCAAAGCAAGGCCAAGAAGAUGCAAUUCCCACUGGAAACCUUAUGAGACAGUUAGAAGGGAAGGGGAGCAAAUGUUCACCAGAUGGAGUCGUGCCCUGUCUCCCAGGCUGGAGUGCAGUGGCCCGAUCUCGGCUCAUGGCAACCUCUGCCUCCCAGGUUCAAGUGAUUCUCCUGCCUCAGCCUCCCGAGAAGCUGGGACUACAGGUGCCUGCCACCAUGCCCGGCUAAUUUUGGUAUUUUUAGUAGAGACGGGGUUUCACCAUAUUGGCCAGGCUGGUCUUGAACUCCUGAUCUUGUGAUCCACCCACCUCGGCUUCCCAAAGUGCUGGGAUUACAGGCAUGAGCCACCGCACCCAGCCUUUGAACUUUCAUACCUUUAGUA